rnacentral:lncRNA from 1 species
UCCUGUAUUGUUUUUGAAAAGUAGAACCUGUCUUUCAUUCCCCUUGAGAAACUCCACUAAUAUUGAACAUUCGUCUGCGUUCUUUUGGCUGCUGCUUGCUUCCAGAAGAUGGAACUGAAUCUCUCUCAACCGCUACCCCUGGCGAUUCAACAGAAAUUGAUGAUACGGACCAAGAGAAGCACUUGCUCUCACCAAAAGACGGAAAUUCCGAUAUAGCUUUCAUCAAAGAAGCUCAAUCGUGAUUGCGAGACAGCCUUCACCAAAUUGGAAGCAGAUGUUCUUGUUAGUUGUUAAGACCAUGAAUGCAUGCCAUUUUGUUUCGACGUAUGUAAUUAUUUCUCCAUUUUUGGUGUCGUUCAUUUUUUACCCAUGGUUAUUUGUUUGGAGAAGAAGAAUUUGGCAUUUGAAACAUAAUUUGUUGUUAAUGCUUUUGUACGAGUGAUUGCAUU